rnacentral:rRNA from 1 species
CCCUUAGAUGUUCUGGGCUGCACGCGCGCUACACUGAUGCGAUCAACGAGUUUUACCUUUCUCGGUAGAGAUGGGCAACCUUUUGAACUCGCAUCGUGAUGGGGAUAGAUUAUUGUAGUUAUUAAUCUUCAACGAGGAAUUCCUAGUAGGUGCAAAUCAUCAGUUUGCAUCGAUUACGUCCCUGCCCUUUGUACACACCGCCCGUCGCUGCUACCGAUUGAGUGUCCUGGUGAAUUAUUCGGACCGACAGCAUCGGAAGUUUCUUCUGUUGCCGUUGGAAAGUCUUGUAAACCCUGACACUUAGAGGAAGCAGAANUCGUANCA